CAUCCAUCAGUCAUCACACACGCAGUGCAGGCACGAACGACAUGGCUGCUGCUCCGGUGGCCGUGCCGCGCAUGAAGCUGGGCUCGCAGGGGCUGGAGGUCUCGGCGCAGGGCCUCGGCUGCAUGGGCAUGUCCGCUGUCUACGGCGAGCGCAAGCCCGAGCAGGACAUGAUCGCGCUCCUCCGCCACGCCGUCGCCGCCGGCGUCACCUUCCUCGACACCUCCGACAUCUACGGCCCCCACACCAACGAGCUCUUGCUCGGCAAGGCGCUGCAGGGAGGAGUGAGGGAGAAGGUCCAAUUGGCCGCGAAAUUUGGCAUCACGGCCACCUGGGAGGUCCACGGUGACCCGGCGUACGUGCGGGCGGCGUGCGAGGGCAGCCUCGCCCGGCUCGGCGUCGACUGCAUCGACCUCUACUACCAGCACCGCAUCGACAAGAAAAUCCCCGUGGAGAUCACGAUGGGUGAGGUCAAGAAGCUAGUCCAAGAAGGAAAGGUGAAAUACGUCGGGUUGUCGGAGGCCUCGGCAGCGACAAUAAGAAGGGCACACGCAGUUCAUCCGAUCACCGCCGUUCACCUGGAGUGGUCUCUGUGGUCAAGAGAUGUCGAAGAAGAUAUAAUUCCAACUUGCAGAGAACUUGGCAUUGAAAUUGUGGCGUACGGUCCACUAGGCAGAGGUUUUCUAUCCACUGGACCUAAACUAGUGGACACAUUACCAGAGGACGAUUUCCGCAAGAAUCUCCCAAGAUUUCAAACCGAGAACAUGGAGAAGAACGCGGCGAUAUUUAAGCGCCUGAGCGAGAUGGCUGCGAGGAAGGGUUGCACGUCGUCCCAGCUCGCGCUGGCUUGGGUUCACCACCAGGGAGGCGAUGUGUGCCCCAUACCCGGCACGACGAAAGUUGAGAAUUUCAACCAGAACCUGAGAGCGCUGUCUGUGGAGCUCUCGACUGAGGAGAUGGCCGAGCUCGAGUCUUACGCUGCCAUGGAUGCGGUCCAAGGUGAUCGGUACCACAACACGUUCCUCAACACCUGGAAGGACUCCGAGACCCCUCCCCUGUCAUCCUGGAAAGCCACUUAAUUGGGAAAGGUGAAACACGUCGGGUUGUCGGAAGCCUCGGCCUCGACAAUCAGAAGGGCACACGCAGUUCAUCCGAUCACCGCAGUUCAGCUGGAGUGGUCUUUGUGGUCAAGAGAUGUUGAAGAAGAUAUAAUACCAACUUGCAGAGAACUUAGCAUUGGAAUUGUGGCGUACAGUCCACUAGGCAGAGGUUUUCUAUCCACUGGACCUAAACUGUUGGACACAUUACCAGAGGACGAUUUCUGCAAGAAUCUCCCAAGAUUUCAACCCGAGAACAUGGAGAAGAAUGCGGCGAUAUUCGAGCGCGUGAGCGAGAUGGCUGCGAGGAAGGGUUGCACGUCGUCCCAGCUCGCGCUGGCUUGGGUUCACCACCAGGGAAGCGAUGUGUGCCCCAUACCUGGCACAACGAAAGUUGAGAAUCUCAACCAGAACGUGAGAGCGCUUUCAGUGGAGCUCACGGCUGAGGAGAUGGUUGAGCUCGAGUCCUACGCUGCCAUGGAUGCGGUCCAAGGUGAUCGUUACCACAUCACGUUCCUCAACACCUGGAAGACUCCGAGACCCCUCCCCUGUCAUCCUGGAAAGCCACUUAACUGGGUAUCAUCGGAAUCAAUCACUAUGUUGAUGCUUCGUAUCACUGAUUUGAAAUAGCUGCAAAUCAAAUAAUUCCAUGAGCACUCCGUGCAUGGAUGAAAUAAUGGAACCACCAAUUGUUUGCUAAUGUAGUACAAUUCCUCCCCAUGAUUACGUUCACGGUACUAAAAAAUGUCAUUGUAUAAUUGGACAGGAUGUAUAUCCUCUGGGAGUUUGCUACUUCUUGAACUUGCGUUGAUUUUUCCUUUCAA